UUAGCUCUUAUAAGCCUCUCCUCUCCUCUCCUCCUUCCUCUAGCACCGAUAAUCCACCGCCUCCUCCUGCUCUCUUACCUCCAUCUCGAGCCCCGAUCUGGAGGCAAGCGAGGAGGAGGAAAGAUGACUCCAGGUGUUCAGAUCUCUUCCCCUCUCCUUGUUUAUUUAUUUUUCUUUCUAUUUUUGGAAACUUGACUCCAGGUGAAGAGGAGGAGGAAAAGGAGGAGGGAAGAUGGUGAGGGGGAAGACGGAGAUGAAGCUGAUAAGCGUCGCAUAUUUUUAGUUUAAAGAGGCGAAAGGCUGCUGGCGUUACAUCGCUCCCUUGCCCCACUCUCCGCGGCGGCAUCCAUCUCCUCUUCCCCCUUGCAUUUUUUGAACCACCAGAAGGCACCGAAUAAGAAGGGCAAGAGAAACAGAGAGAGAGAGACAGGCCAUGUCUGCGUCGACCAACCUAUGGGUUCUCCUCGGGCUGGGCUUCGCCGGCAUCAUCCUCAUUACGCAGCGGCUGAAGCAUGCCAUCAAACAGGAUUUCGGGGCUGUUCGUCGAGCGGUUCGAGCUCCUCCCUCCCCCUCAGCCCGCCCCCCAUCCCUUGACCGGCCUCUCCUUCGCCGUUGCCGACAUGCAUGUAAUCUUAUCCUGCCCCUCCCCUUAUCCUUCUUACUCCUUGUUCCAAUCCUGUUUUCCCUCCCGUUUUAAUCUUUGGUUGGAUUUUCAUCUCUCCGUUCUCUAUUGAGUUCUGAUUUGGUUUGAUAUUAUGUUCCUUACUGUUCUGACGGAUUCAUAGUAGAGUUUGUUGUUAUGAGGAGACAAGUGGUAUAAUGAGCUGAUAGUAUACCUACAGCUGGAGUUUAAUCAAUUCUUUAGGUGGUAUGUAAGACGUUGCAAGAUUAUUUGGUUGUUGCUUUGAAAUAAUGUACCGCAUACUCGAUCUGAAUUUUUUUUUGUUGUUUUGAACAACAAUUCAGCCUUGAAAAGUUUAGACAACUCAAUCAGUCCUGCAGCCCACGCUAAGAAAUAUUAUUAUUAUUAAAUCACGCGGUCUCCA
rnacentral:lncRNA from 1 species